GCAGAUAGCUCAGUCGGUAGAGCAGGAGCCCCUUAAUCUCAGGGUCCUGGGUUCAAGUCCUGCCUUGGGCA